GUUGCUUUAUCCAGAUAUGAAAGUGAAUGCUUUUGAGAUUUAAUUGUGUAUUCCAUAGUUUCCAUCCUUAACGUGAGGAACGUUGAACAGGACUGAUGAAACCUUUGUCCAUGCAGUGCUGUAGACUGACCCACAGGUGUCUCUCUUUUUCUUCCCUAGUGUUGCACUGUAUCUGUCCUCUCAUUCCAGUCCACACUCCUCCUCUGAAAACAGAAAACCUGUAUCUUACAAAACACUGAGCCCAUCUCUAUAGUCAUUCAGUGCACAGACUCUUUGGACUACGAGAUCUGGCGGCGUGAGCCACAAAAAAUACAGGCGGCCAUAAUAAUGUCCCUUGUGCAUGAGAGCAAUCUUGCACGUUCUCGCGCGCGUCUGUCCACUGAUGCGAGAGGCUCUCAUUUUCUGAAAUUAGAAGAUUUGGUGAUUAAAUGAUGAUGGACUUGUCAUCUUUUGCAUGAAAAAUUCCUGUAGAGGGACUAAAUAAGGAAUCUGCUAGAAGUGUUUCUGGACUUCUUGAGGUGGACAGGGGUGGCAGAUUCUGUCCUGCAGCCAGUCAGCUGCUUUGCUCCUGGAAGCUGCCCAGAUGCCCUCUGAACCCUGGCAAGGUGGCAAAGCCUUCUCAUAGGGUGGGCGGAGAGCAGCAGGUUGCCCAGGCUUAUCUCAGAAAAGUGGAUUUUUGCAGGGGAAAGACAUUGAGUGCUUCUGAUGCAUUGCGUUGGCAAGAAGCUCUUGGUCUGCCCUAUUAUGCUUGCCCCCUCCUGCUGUCUCUCCUUCAGAAUUCAAGUACCUCUGUCUCCUUUUAGUGAAUGUCAGCACCAAACUCAGUGUAGAUGCUGAGAAGCAGGGCAGGUAAGUGAUAUCAGCAGAUCCCAAUGUUCUUGCCGUCUUUUCCUGCUAAUCAGCCCUAAGAAACCUUUUAAUCAUUUUGACAGCUCUUUUCUGUCCCUGGCACUGGAGCAGGUUUAAGAUGGUACAGAUGGAGUCUCUGGCUAGGCUGAGGAGAUUUUUCAGGAAGUGGCAUGUGUUGCCACUAUGGUUGCCACCAAUGGAAAAACUUUUUAAGUAGUCAAAACAAAUAAUUCCCUUUUUUUGUGUUUCACAGAAAUCUCACAGUUACUGUACUGCACACUGAAGGGACAUUUUUAUAGUCUUAAAUUCACAGUACUAAUUGUGUACACUAAGUACUAAUAACUGUUUCGUACCAUUGUAAUACACUGACAACCACCAAAAACAGGUGGUGAUGAGAAAGUCACAUGAUGAAAGCUCAUCACAAACAGCUUUUCCACAAGCUGAAGAGGGAAAUACUUGCAGUGUAUAUAGAAGGUCCACAGUGUCAUUCAAACAAUACUGAACACCAUCAUGGAAACACACAUGAUAGUGAAAUAAUGCAAUGAAUAUUAUUUUAACAACAUUAGAUGUAAGAUAAAACUCUAAUGUACACAACUGAUAAGAAAAAACUAAGAAGAUACAGUUAUUUAAAAGAAAAAAAAUCAAAUGUGAAACGUCGUGCAGAGAAUUCUGGGAAUGUCAGUUUACUUUUUUUUUCUCAGUGUGAAUUAUACAAUUGCUUGUUCUUUUUCAUUUCCAAAACCUGUAAUUUU
ensembl:lncRNA